rnacentral:rRNA from 1 species
CGAGUGGCGGACGGGUGAGUAAUGUCUGGGAAACUGCCUGAUGGAGGGGGAUAACUACUGGAAACGGUAGCUAAUACCGCAUAACGUCGCAAGACCAAAGAGGGGGACCUUCGGGCCUCUUGCCAUCGGAUGUGCCCAGAUGGGAUUAGCUAGUAGGUGGGGUAACGGCUCACCUAGGCGACGAUCCCUAGCUGGUCUGAGAGGACGACCAGCCACACUGGAACUGAGACACGGUCCAG